rnacentral:rRNA from 1 species
UACGUAGGUGGCGAGCGUUGUCCGGAUUUAUUGGGUUUAAAGGGUGCGUAGGCGGCUUUGUAAGUCAGUGGUGAAAUACUCCAGCUUAACUGGAGGGGUGCCAUUGAUACUGCGGAGCUUGAGUACAGAUGAGGUAGGCGGAAUUGACGGUGUAGCGGUGAAAUGCAUAGAUAUCGUCAAGAACACCGAUAGCGAAGGCAGCUUACUGGGCUGUAGCUGACGCUGAUGCACGAAAGUGUGGGGAUCAAACAGG